CCUACGGGAGGCAGCAGUAGGGAAUCUUGCGCAAUGGGGGAAACCCUGAUGCAGCGACGCCGCGUGAGUGAAGAAGGAUUUCGUUAUGUAAAGCUCUAUCAGCAGGGAAGAAAAUGUCGGUACCUGCGUAAGACGCCCCAGCUAACUACGUGCCAGCAGCCGCGGUAAUACGUAGGGGGCAAGCGUUAUCCGGAUUUACUGGGGGUAAAGGGAGCGUAGACGGCAGUGCAAGUCUGGAGUGAAAGGCGGGGGCUCAACCCCCGGACGGCUCUGGAAACUGUACGGCUGGAGUGCAGGAGAGGUAAGUGGAAUUCCUAGUGUAGCGGUGAAAUGCGUAGAGAUUAGGAGGAACACCAGUGGCGAAGGCGGCUUACUGGACUGUAACUGACGCUGAGGCUCGAAAGCGUGGGGAGCAAACAGGAUUAGAUACCCCGGUAGUC
rnacentral:rRNA from 1 species